UACGGAGGAUCCGAGCGUUAUCCGGAUUUAUUGGGUUUAAAGGGUGCGCAGGCGGGUAUAUAAGUCAGAGGUGAAAUUCCAGGGCUCAACCCUGGGACUGCCUUUGAUACUGUAUGUCUAGAGGAUAUUUGGAGUGGGCGGAAUGUAGCAUGUAGCGGUGAAAUGCUUAGAUAUGCUACAGAACACCGAUCGUGAAGGCAGCUCACUAAACUAUAACUGACGCUCAGGCACGAAAGCGUGGGGAGCAAACAGG
rnacentral:rRNA from 1 species